rnacentral:sRNA from 1 species
GCUGGGUGCAGUGGCUCAGCCUGUAAUCCCAGUGGCUUGGGAGGCUGAGGCAGGGGGAUUGUUGAGUUCAAAGCCAGCCUCAGAAACUCAUGGAGGCCCUAAGCAAGAUCCUGUCUCAA